rnacentral:tmRNA from 1 species
GGGGCUGAUUAUGGAUUUGACAAAGUUAUAAAACUUUAAGAGCAUGUCAAGGAACGGUAGGCCUUGUAAAAAAACCGUACAAUAUAGUUGCAAAUAAUGAAAAAUAUGCUUUAGCAGCAUAAAAAACUGCAGGAAGCCCUGUUUCUUAUUAUUUUUCUCUUUGAUAAAAAGUAAAUAGGUCAUAAAAAAAAGAGAUCGUAUAUAAUUGGUCUUAAAAUUAUAUACUAAAGUAAUUAUUAGACUAUAUAAUAUAAAACUUGGUUUUAUCAGUUUAUAUUAAGAAAUUUUUAUAAGAUAAAACUAAACAUGUAGUUCUGAAAGUGUAGUAAUUUUGGACGGGGGUUCGAAUCCCCCCAGCUCCAAUA